AUUGAACGCUGGCGGCGUGCUUUACACAUGCAAGUCGGACGAGUGGCGAACGGGUGAGUAACGCCUCGGAACGUACCCAGUGAGGGGGGAUAACUGUUAGCAACGGCAGCUAAUACCGCAUAUUAUUAGAGCUGCCCAUGUUUGAUUAGCUGGUUGGCGGGGUAAAGGCCCACCAAGGCGACGAUCAGUAGCUGGUCUGAGAGGAUGAUCCGGCAAACUGGGAAUGGGACACGGCCCAGACUCCUCCGGUAGGCAGCAGGGGGGAAUGUUGGAAAAUGGGCGCAAGCCUGACUGAGCAACGGCGGGGGAGUGAAGAAGGUUUGCGGAUCGUAAAGCUCUGUUGUAAGAGAAGCGGUAUCUGACCAGAAAGGGACGGCUAACUACGUGCCAGCAGCCGCGGUAAUUC
rnacentral:rRNA from 1 species